CUGAUAGCAGACUACUCCGAUCCGGAUCCGUUUUACCUCCGGCAGAUCCGCGCUACAGUCAGGUCUGUUUAGUGGAUCUGGUACGGCUUCACUCCGGGUUCGGGUUAUGAUUGUGACUCACGUUCAGAUCCGUUUUACUGACGGUAAAUCCGCAUAACAGUCCGUCUCAUUUCACGCCUUCCAUAUGACUUCGGCACGGAGUCAGAUACCAGAUGUGAGUUCAGUGUCAGUUCAGUGUCGUUUUGCGGAUCCGGGCCGCAUCGGCGGAGCGGCACAGGAGCGGGAGAAAUUCAAACUCAGCGCGAGGACCAACUGACAUCUGCUGAAUCUGCGCUUCAGGUGUAAUCAUUUACCCAUCAAAUCACCUAACAAGGAUCAGCCUGGAUCCUAACAGUACUUGAUGCACUGAGCAGUGACAUUAUACAUAGAGUAGUUAAGCAGGAUUUGGUAUCCGCAAAAUGGUUCGAGGUCCUCAGCCCUCGCCUCCCCCAGCACAGAGGAAAACUACCAAGGGCGGUACUCUCAUUAUAGGAGAUUCAAUUGUUAGACAUUUAAAAGUAUCUAAGAGUAAUGGCACAAUUUCAUGUCUUCCAGAUGCUUGCAUGCUGGUAGUCGGCAAGCGGCUCCCUGGGGCGCAUUGUCAAAGCAGGAACCCCGGCACCAUCGCCCUCCACGUGGGGAUGAGCUUUCGGGAGCGACCGGCCCCGUUCCACAGAGACAGGCUUCUCUCUGUGAACAUCGAGGCGGUGCUACGCUGAGACUGACUGUCUCUACCCAGUCACACCAGCCAAGUAGGCUGCACUGUAGUGGUGUUAAGUGUCCAAGAAUGCUCUCAUCAGUGGAGGCACAGCUGGCUGCAAAAAACGUCUGUGUCUGCAUGUUUAUAUUAUGUGAAUUAAAAAUGGUUUUAUUAUUAAAAUAAUUGUAUUAAUGCCUGUUGAUUUAUAAAUUGUUUAAUUGAAAUCAAAUUUUAUUUAAGUAGCUUAAUUAAGUAUUGCAUUUAUAACUGAUGGUAUUUUAUUUAAUUAGCUUAAGUAUUGCAUUUAUAAGUGAUGGUAUUUUAUU